rnacentral:lncRNA from 1 species
GCACUGGGGCCAUGGCGGCGCAGGACCGGGCUUGGCGCAACGGCACACGAUGCGGUCCUCGAGCCUCCCGGGCGCUCGGUCACCGCGCCGAAACGGGAGCGGGCAGAGUCGCCACCGCCUACCGCCGGGCCGCCUCAGAACAGGAAGCCGUGCGCCGACCGCGGAAGCCCGCCCCCAUGUAGCGAGAAGUCCGCCGACCCCAGGGACAGGAGCGAGGGGCGGGGGGAGGCGGGGAUGGGGGGGAAGCAGGGCGGCCCCGCAGAGGGGAAGCUGCGCCUCCGCAAACGCUCAGAAGCAGCUUCGCCAGACAGCCGCAACGUACAUGUUGACUGCCCGAGGCGGAAGUCGAUCGGCAGAGCGGAAGGGGGACCUGCAGAGGACCUUCCGACAGGUUGGUCAGACCAUGCCCAUGGUUCCUCCUCUCGACUUCACUAUGAAUGCCGCAUCUGUUGAAUGAAUGCAGUUUCUGCUCUUGCUUUUGGAUAGAAGUGAUUGCAAAUCUUAUCAAAAUAAUGAAAAAAAUUACUUUUCAAUUCCUUUUCAACCCUUUUGAGUCUGAGGGGCAGCUGUACAUUAAAUGAAACCAUAUGUAUCAUAAUUUCAUUUUUCCAUCAAAAGAGCUUUAAAGGAAAUUCCCCUUUUUCUCCAUGUUUUCAAUAUUUUUUGUUCCUUUUGUUAAAAUCAGAUUAAUCUCAUGAAACAUCUGAAGCAUUUAAGUCAAUUUAAGAGCUGAGAAAAUAUCAUGCUGCUAGUUCUGAAACGAUCUGAAGUGUGAAUCAGGUGAUCACCAAAUAGGGGAACAACUGAAAAAUGUGAAUGAAAGAAGUAUGUACCUAUACUAUAGUGUCAAAUAUUGUACUGUAAGCUUUAAAAUGAUAAAUUGGAAACUUUCCAAAAGUG